CGACCACGCCGCACACACAUUGACCGACCAUUGAACCAGCCGCUUUACAUGGCGCGUGAGGCUCCCGAAUGCGAGGGCUCCUAUCUCUGCCGGGCGACGCUCGGGAGUGUAAACAAGGGCGCCACAAGACCUGCAAUUUUCUCUGGAUGUAGUGGCUUGGCAUAGACAGAAAAAUGACUACAGCAGUCUCCCUCAACAGUGACCUGGUGACAAGAUCACUAGUCAACCUU